UUCCGUCCUUAUUUUGAUCUCUUCUUCCGUGUUCUGUGCCCUGCCGCUUUUGAGGUGUGGCGCACCUCUUGACACGCCCUCCUUCCCCCUUCUCGCUGCAGGUGUGAAUUGUCCUGCCUCUGCCCUCCCGUAUCUUCGAUACACCUUUGGCGCAUUUCGAACGCUCACACACACACGCACACACACACAUAGAGAAUAGAGGUGACGUGCUUUGGGUCAACACCUCGUGAAUCAAGGUAGCCACACGCAGGCCCAUACACACCGGCACGUACGCGCCAUUUGCGUGCAGCUCUCAUCUUUCGCUACAGUGCUGUACCCAAGGGAGCAUCAGCUGUCCCUGAGUCGAACUCUCUCUCUGUCGGCUUUACUGUUGACGUUGCCGUAGCGGCUCUGUAGAGCUUCGCUCUGCGUCGCUUUCGUGCGUGUGUGCUUUCUUUCUGUCUUCUCGUCGGUUUCGUACUUCCUUGUUUCCCCUCCCCUUCUUUUUCGUUCUCUGUACGACGCCCUGCCCUGUUGUACUGUAUUCUCUUUUCUGAUUCCUAACUUGCGCUCGGCGCCUAGCGGCCGGUGCCCCCAUAGCCCCCUCCCCCUUCACGCGAUUCUCUUGUAUUUUCUAGAUCUCUCUCCCUCCCUCUCUCGUGCGGGGAUCUGUCAUCGCCUCUGAGGGGCGACACAACACGGAACACCCUCUGCACAGUGCUUCGAAAGAAGUCAGCGGAGGUGCUGCGUAACGAUCUUGGCAGCGGAAGACUGUUUCGGCCUUAUCUGGCUCUCGCCGUUCAGGGCCAGGGGGAAUACGUAUUGCAUACAAGUCUGCCAUAAUGAACUUGCGCUCGCGCAGCAGCCGACAGGCCAACCAGCGCACGUCGUCGACUUCAGUGCGCGACCGUGACCCAGGCGACGGCGUCUCUGUCCAACUGCGCUCAUGCGCACUACAACCGCGCCCGCCUGUUAGCGGUGGCCGUUCGUCUUCUACUUCGAAAAGCACUAAGGGCGCACGAAAAUGUUCGCCGCCGGCAGCAUCCGUAUCGAAGAGAUCGGCGGCGAAGCGGCUGGCGCUGCGCACCCGCCUGCCGUAUCUGCGUUCCGUUCCGCCUCUUCCUGCGCCAACGACUGGCGAGCCCACGUCGUCCUCUCUUCGAUUCGAGCGACGGUCGUUCUCGUCCAGCUGCGUGCCGCGUGAAGCAGCGACAGUGCGCAAGCCCACGUACACCAUCAUACCCGAGGCACUCCAGCACGUGAAACACCUUUGCAGUAGCGUGCGGGACUCGGAAAAGGACGCACCGUUGCCGUUGGGGGCGUGCAAUGGCAGUGGCGCGCGUGACCGACGAAACAACCGGCUUGCGCUGCCGUCGAUCUCCUGGCUGUCUGAGGACGCCACGGCAGUCGUGCAAGAUAUCGAGAUGGUGCAGGGCAUGCUGUUCUCGUCUCUGCAGAGUGGCAGCGCUGCCGAUCCGGUGAGCCCGCCGACUCCGAAGCGCGACGCUGCGGGCGUGAAGCUGCAUCAUACGCGGAGCCAUUCCUGGAACCCUCAAAGGGGUCUCACCUGCGCCCCUGCCGGCUCUGGCGCCUUCCUGUCCAAAAAAGAGCGUAAGAAGGCGUGGACGGUGUUUCUGCACAAGAACACGCACGCGUUUGCCCUCAUCGUGAACGCCUGCAGAUCCUCUUUGGCGAUGCGAGAGCUGCAGGUAGGGUCCGUCCUGCUCACCUUCCUCUACAAUGUCUUGAGGCACAUGCCAGGGGAUAAGCAGCGUAAGGCGGUGGCCCUGUGCGAGAAACUUGGUAUUAUCCGUGUGUGCACGUCGGUGCUCCAGGAAGGGAAGCGCCGGCUGCGUCCCGGCGAUGUAGAUGCCGCCUUUGUGGCAUCUCUCCGCGCGUGCGAGGCGGCUGCGCUGCUCUUUACCCUUGGUAGCACCUUCAACGUCAAGCUGUGGACCCUCUUCCGUCUUUCACAGAGCCUCGAGUGCACAUUUGCCUGCGCGUCCGUAACGUUCCGGCUGCUGGAGGCGGAGUUUGCCAGGUACCACGCAUCACUGCAGUCCGACCUUUGCCAGACCACCACGGCGGCGGCACUGCAGGAGUACACGCGGAAGCACACCCGUAAAGAAACGCUGACGACGCUGCGCCGCUUUCAGUCGCGCACGCAAUGGACCUGCACGGCCUUUUCCCAUUUCUGCUUCACGCUUUUCGCUUUCACUGGGAGCUCCGCUUCGGCUGUCGAUCUCGGCGCGCGCGGGACGGAGCUCUGCGCCACUGCUAUUGCCAUGAGCACAUUUUUUUUGACGCAAAUCGCGCCGCUGCUGCUGAUGAGCGUAAAAUACGAUGCGUCAGAGAAGACACGACACCCGGAUGUCGGGGCUCUGGUAUCCAUCGAUGCCGAACACUGGGUGCCAUCGUGGGUGAUGCGGCUUAUGCGGCGGGUGGAGUUCAUGUUGCUGUGGUGUGUGGCGUUGAUGCAGCGAUUGACAAGCUUCGACAAGGUUCGUCAGAUGGCGGCUGAGGUUGCAUUGCGCUUUCACGUGCCGCGCGGCAUCGUUUUCUACCUGUUGCCACCGUCGACCCACAUGUUGCAGAUACUGCCCCGACGAGAAUGCGUCCAUGUUAUUCUGCUCCUGCUGAACGCAUUGCUGGCGGCCGACAGGGAGGCCGUGCUGGCGGACAUAAAGGACCUUGGCGGGCUGAAGGUGGUCGUGGCGAGCGUCUUGGCGUUGCCUGAGAAGUCGUCGCAGCAGUGGCACCAUUUCUACCUCCAAUUGUGCUCGAUGUACGGGUACACGAUGCUGCCGUCAUGGAACGGCCGCCCCGCAUGCUACGUUGACGAGCGCUUGCCUGCGUCCCUGCGUCGCCAAUUCGACGUUGCCAGGACACCAGGUGGAAAGUCUCACUUGUCUGAGCCCGUGGGCAGCUGCCACAGCGCAGUCGAUACGAGGGCAGACGCCUCUCAGGCGCGCCCGUCGUCGACGCAGGCGCCGCUAGCUCAGUGUGCCGGUCGCUCGACGGAGACGGUGUUGGACUCGAUCAUCUCUCCCUCGCUCACAGCAGCCCGUUCGGGACGCGGGGGCUCGGAUAAUUGUCUCCUGCUCGUAGACAUCCGCCCAGAUGUGUUCUCUCCAGAGCUGCGCAGCGGCGACGUGGAUCCUGUGUCGGAGCUGGUGGCGUUCGACCCCUCACAGCUGCCGUGGCCGUUCAAGGACGCGGCACCACCAACGACGGCGGAGAGCUGGUACGGCGCCUCCUCCUCUGUUGCUGCUGCCGCAGAGGACGCGCAUCUCAGCGUGCCGCUGAUCAAUGUGUGUGAGGAAGACCGGGUUCGUGUACUGCGCCACCACAUCGCGCGGCUUACACUCUUGGACGAAGCGGCGUGCGAUGGUGGCCCGAUUCCGCAUGUGCACAAGGUGGUUUUCGAGCGACUGAGCAGCGCGUCACCCGGCGCAGCUGGAGACGCACCCAGUGCCGUUCAGGGGAGCGCUGACGGAGUCGAGUUCUUUUCGGACUACGAAAGCGGCAACCUGCAGCGCGCCAUCGAAGUGACAGACAGCGAGUACGACCUAGUCCUUUCCUGGGACACCGCCACCAACUCUUACACGCAGUGGUUCAGUUUUGGCAUGCGCCACUUCACCCCUGGCAAAACGUACCGCUUCAACAUCCUGAAUAUGGAAAAGGGCGAUUCUACCUUCAACGAGGGCCAAAAACCACUGCUGUUGCACGUUCCGGACGGCGGAAACCCUUCCGACCCGAGCGCGCCGCGGCCCAAGUGGACUCGCGCCGGCGAGGGCAUCUUUUACUUUGGCAACGCUUUCCUCCGUCCUGCGCGCGCGCACUACUUCGGGAAAACCGGGGAGGCCGCCAGCGCUCCGGCUGCAUCCCCACUCUCCAUGUCUCCGCGACCGCUAUCAAUGUCGGUGAGCCCGUGCGCGCCGGUUUCGCACCUCGGUGGACGUGCACCGCCGCCGGUGAUUGCGAAGAAGCGCAUUCCGGCACUCCCCACACUGUCACCGCCGCCUGCGAUGCCGCCGCCGUUUACCGCAUCCACACCUGCAGAGUCGGGAGUGCUGAAGCAGAAGUGCUACUUCACAGUCACCUUCUCCGUCACCAUGCCGACGACGGUGGCCGGAACGGUUUACCUUGCCAACUGCUUCCCGUUCACAUACACCGAGAUGCGAGAACAUCUCGCGUGGCUGGCGAGGGAGUCUCAUGCGUGCCCAACGCGCUCGCUGUUGCCGCAGUGCUUAUGCUGGACACCGGGCGGGUUGCAGGUGCCGCUGCUGACGGUGACGGCGCUACGUAACCGAGAUACUGGGGAGCCGUACACCGCGGACGAAAUACGGCGCCGCCCCAUCGCGCUGCUUGUGGCGCGUGUGCACCCUGGCGAAACAAACGCCAGCUGGGUCAUGCAGGGUCUGCUGGAUACCCUUCUCUGCCCGCCAGCGGUGGCCGCAGAAUACGCGUCCCACCUGUGUGACAACUUUGUCUUCAAGGUGAUACCCAUGCUGAACGCCGACGGCGUGAUCAUGGGCAACCAUCGCUGCUCAUUCGCCGGCGCAGACCUAAAUCGAGACUACACGAAUCCUAAGGCAGAUUUCAACCCCACUCUCUACGCGAUGAAGCAGCUGCUGCGAUACUGGACGGGCGAGGAGAAGCGUCAGGUUGUGAUGUUUGCCGACUUUCACGGUCAUUCGCGAGCCAAGAACUUUCUUGUAUAUGGGUGCACCAUGAACACGAUACGAGGCGUCGCCACUCACUCUCGUCACAAAGGCACAAGAGGCGGUGAUGGCGGUCGACGCCGUCGCACUCGGAGAGCGUCCAGCAUGGCCCCCGCUGCCCCGGAGAAGGUCAUUGCUGCCUUGCUAUCACAGCUAUUCCCGUCCUUUUCCCUCUCGCAGAGCUCCUUUGCUGUAACCAAGGACAAGAAGGGGUCUGCGCGUGUUGUCCUCUACGACGAGUUCGGUGUGCGCAUGAGCUACGGCUUCGAGGCAACAAUGGUGGGUGGCCUGGUCUGUGUUCCCGAGCUGCUGCGAGUGAGCGCUGGCACCCACGACGAUGACGCUGCCGCACCGGUGUCAGCCGUGUGCAAGGCGGAGGUGCACUACAGCCCCACCGUAUUUCGUGCCAUGGGAGACGUCUUCCUGCGAGCGUUGUCAAUUCUUUUUCGACAAUGGGCGGCGCUUACGGCGCUGGCGGCGGACAGCGGCUGCAGCGAUCCAAAGAGCAGCCCAAGCGAUGUGCUCAAGUCAGCGGCGCUGCAACUGUCGUGGAGCAUGACCGCUGCCGCUGGAGGUGGCCGUGAGCCGCCCAAGAACCCUUUUUCACCCUCCUCGAGGGAGUCCGGUGCGGCUCUUCCUCGCGCGGGACAGUACGCGGCAGCAACACGUGAGGACCGACGAGUGGGGUCCCCGGUGCGUGCCGGCUCGCCGGCGGCACCAAACGAAGCCUGUAGCGGGCUAUCUGUCGUCCCCGUAGCGGGUCAAGUGGAAGCACUGGACUACCUGUUCAUGGCAGACUGCCGCGAGGGGGCAACACCAGCCAAGGAUGAGGACGGCAAAGACGAGGAGGGGAGCAUUGCGAGCGGCAGCGAGAUCUCUACCGAGGAGGACAGCGACGAUGCUGAGAUGGAGGAGGAUGAGCUGCUCGGUACGACGAGCGCGAGACACACGCGGAGGAGGCGUUCGGAGGCUCAGUAUGCCGGUAACGCAUCUGAGGUUAGCGAACAUAGCGCGUCCUCGCCCGUCGGCUCUGGUAGCGACGACCAAGACUGGUCCGGCUGCAACUCCUCCGGCAGCACCGCUGACGACUCUGACGAUAGCCGAAGCAGCGUGAGCAGUUUGGAUGAGGAGAUUCCUACGAAUCUAUUCACAUAGGCGAGAGACUGCGGAGCUGCAUCCCACGUCCUUCUCGCGGUACUGUCUGCUUAGCGUGCUUGAGCGCAAGAGGCCGCUUUACUCCUCUGUAAAAUGUGUACUUCUUUCUCCGCCUCUCCUUCUCUGCCUGUCUGCGCAUGUGGGCGUUUCUGCGAGACUCUCAGUGCAUGUGUGCGUUCACAUGUGCAAUGCUGCCUUUCGGCGCGCCACCUUUCCAGCGCGUGAACUUCUGUUCUUCCAUUCUCUAAUAUGCUCAUCUGUCUCACUCGCUAGCAUGCGCCGCUCGAGCGUACCGUGCCCAGCGGUGCGAUGCAACGCAGACCUUGAAAUGUGUAUGCGGGCCAUCGUGCCCUUCUAUCAUUGUAUUGUUCGCUUUUUUGACCUUUCCACGUGGUCUUUUUCUUUUUUUUUCGGCUCCCCUUUUCCAG
rnacentral:misc_RNA from 1 species